rnacentral:rRNA from 1 species
UGGGGAAUUUUGGACAAUGGGCGAAAGCCUGAUCCAGCAAUGCCGCGUGUGUGAAGAAGGCCUUCGGGUUGUAAAGCACUUUUGUCCGGAAAGAAAUCCUUGGCUCUAAUACAGUCGGGGGAUGACGGUACCGGAAGAAUAAGCACCGGCUAACUACGUGCCAGCAGCCGCGGUAAUACGUAGGGUGCAAGCGUUAAUCGGAAUUACUGGGCGUAAAGCGUGCGCAGGCGGUUUGCUAAGACCGAUGUGAAAUCCCCGGGCUCAACCUGGGAACUGCAUUGGUGACUGGCAGGCUAGAGUAUGGCAGAGGGGGGUAGAAUUCCACGUGUAGCAGUGAAAUGCGUAGAGAUGUGGAGGAAUACCGAUGGCGAAGGCAGCCCCCUGGGCCAAUACUGACGCUCAUGCACGAAAGCGUGGGGGAGCAAACAGGAUUAGAUACCCUGGUAGUCCACGCCCUAAACGAUGUCAACUAGUUGUUGGGGAUUCAUUUCCUUAGUAACGUAGCUAACGCGUGAAGUUGACCGCCUGGGGAGUACGGUCGUCAAAGAUUAAAACUCAAAGGAAUUGACGGGGUCAUAGC